UUAGGUAUAUAUAUAUAUAUAUAAUGAUACCAGACAUUAGUUAGGUAUAUAUAUAUAAUGAUACCAGACAUUAAUUAGGUAUAUAUAAUGAUACCAGACAUUAAUUAGGUAAUGAUACCAGACAUUAAUUAGGUGUAUAUAUAUAUAUAAUGAUACCAGACAUUAGUUAGGUAUAAAUAAUGAUACCAGACAUUAGUUAGGUAUAAAUAAUGAUACCAGACAUUAAUUGGGUAUAUAUAUAAUGAUACCAGACAUUAAUUAGGUAUAUAUAAUGAUACCAGACAUUAAUUAGGUAUAUAUAAUGAUACCAGACAUUAAUUAGGUAAUGAUACCAGACAUUAAUUAGGUAUAUAUAAUGAUACCAGACAUAAAUUAGGUAUAUAUAAUGAUACCAGACAUUAAUUAGGUAUAUAUAUAAUGAUACCAGACAUUAAUUAGGUAUAUAUAAUGAUACCAGACAUUAAUUAGGUAUAUAUAAUGAUACCAGACAUUAAUUAGGUAAUGAUACCAGACAUUAAUUAGGUAUAUAUAAUGAUACCAGACAUAAAUUAGGUAUAUAUAAUGAUACCAGACAUU